rnacentral:sRNA from 1 species
GCCGUAUCGGUUAGAUCGGGAUACUCAUCAAAUUAUUUCGAAAACCGGGAUUACUUUGUUGUCAAUGGCGGGCCACAUCCCUCGGGACAGUUCCUCGGAACCGGUGGAUUACAACGACUUCAGAGCUCCCAAAUCUUAAGAAAACGGAGUUUUCAUCACAUCAUCGGUACGGCCUUUUU